CAAAGUGGAGCUUGUUAAGUUAAGCAGUUCAUUUACAUUGAAUUAAAAUCUGUGCAAAUCAGUUUAUUUUGA
rnacentral:tRNA from 1 species